rnacentral:rRNA from 1 species
UGGGGAAUUUUGGACAAUGGGGGAAACCCGUGAUCCAGCCAUCCCGCGUGUGCGAUGAAGGCCUUCGGGUUGUAAAGCACUUUUGGCAGGAAAGAAACGUCGCGGGUUAAUACCCCGCGAAACUGACGGUACCUGCAGAAUAAGCACCGGCUAACUACGUGCCAGCAGCCGCGGUAAUACGUAGGGUGCAAGCGUUAAUCGGAAUUACUGGGCGUAAAGCGUGCGCAGGCGGUUCGGAAAGAAAGAUGUGAAAUCCCAGAGCUUAACUUUGGAACUGCAUUUUUAACUACCGGGCUAGAGUGUGUCAGAGGGAGGUGGAAUUCCGCGUGUAGCAGUGAAAUGCGUAGAUAUGCGGAGGAACACCGAUGGCGAAGGCAGCCCCUCCUGGGAUAACACUGACGCUCAUGCACGAAAGCGUGGGGAGCAAACAGGAUUAGAUACCCUGGUAGUCCACGCCCUAAACGAUGUCAACUAGCUGUUGGGGCCUUCGGGCCUUGGUAGCGCAGCUAACGCGUGAAGUUGACCGCCUGGGGAGU